rnacentral:rRNA from 1 species
GGGAUUGCCUCAGUAACGGCGAGUGAAGCGGCACAAGCUCAAAUUUGAAAUCUGGCUCUUUCAGGGUCCGAGUUGUAAUUUGUAGAAGAUGCUUCGGGUGUGGCUCCGGUCUAAGUUCCUUGGAACAGGACGUCAUAGAGGGUGAGAAUCCCGUAUGUGACCGGUCGCCUUCGCCCAUGUGAAGCUCUUUCGACGAGUCGAGUUGUUUGGGAAUGCAGCUCAAAAUGGGUGGUAAAUUUCAUCUAAAGCUAAAUAUUGGCCAGAGACCGAUAGCGCACAAGUAGAGUGAUCGAAAGAUGAAAAGCACUUUGGAAAGAGAGUUAAACAGUACGUGAAAUUGUUGAAAGGGAAGCGCUUGCAACCAGACUUGCGCGCGGUUGAUCAUCCGGGGUUCUCCCCGGUGCACUCUGCCGCGCUCAGGCCAGCAUCGGUUUCGACGGUGGGAUAAAGGCCUUGGGAAUGUGGCUCCUCUCGGGGAGUGUUAUAGCCCUCGGUGCAAUGCCGCCUGUCGGGACCGAGGACCGCGCUUCGGCUAGGAUGCUGGCGUAAUGGUUGUAAGCGACCCGUCUUGAAACACGGACCAAGGAGUCUAACAUCUAUGCGAGUGUUUGGGUGUCAAACCCAUACGCGUAAUGAAAGUGAACGGAGGUGAGAACCCUUAAGGGUGCAUCAUCGACCGAUCCUGAUGUCUUCGGAUGGAUUUGAGUAAGAGCAUAGCUGUUGGGACCCGAAAGAUGGUGAACUAUGCGUGAAUAGGGUGAAGCCAGAGGAAACUCUGGUGGAGGCUCGCAGCGGUUCUGACGUGCAAAUCGAUCGUCAAAUUUGCGCAUAGGGGCGAAAGACUAAUCGAACCAUCUA